GCGAUUUUUUGAUUCAUGGGCUUGCAAAAAUGUUAUAAAAUGUAACAUUUUCUGCUGUAGCGAAGUUUUACUGUACUCACAGAAAGCUUUUUCAAUUUUCAGGAGGAAAACACCAGGUAAUCAAUCAUCUAUCGUUUUUUGCUGCCAUAGCCAUAUUCUGUAUGCUUUUCCAUAAUCAGUAGAAUGUAUCAAAAAUGACUUUUUGGCGGCCAUUCAGAGGCUUGUUCCGGUGGGCGUACUGAGCACAAAUCCUACACUCAAAAUAAUGUUCACCACGAUACUGCAUGAAAAUUCCGGUGGCAGCCAAUUUUGGUCCAAAACAACGUUUCACAUGAGUCAUGCAACUAUCACCAAGCAUUCAUGUCAACUCUGCUUGGUUUUCACGCAGCUUACACUCACACAACUGAAUGUCACGUGAAAUCCAUGCCUGAAAAUUUGGAGGCGUGGCUUGCGGUCAGCUGGUUUUGUGUUUGCAUGACAAUCUUGCAACACCCGCAUGAAAACUAGUAUGGAAAAAAUCCAUACACCUUUUCAUGCAAUGUUGUGGUGAAAAGUUGUAGAUGGUUGCAUGAAUUUCCUGUCUGAAAAUUUCGGUUCGCUUGUCGAGGAUUUCAAUCGUCAGUUUCGUCCCGGCGCUCGACUCGGCAUGAAGUGCGAGCAAAUAAGUUAGAAUUUUUUGAUAGGCACAAAAAAGAGUUCAAGAAUCACUCGCCGUAUACUGUUUCGGAUCGGAUGAGAACUAAAUAGUAAAGACAGGACAAAAAAUGCAACAGUUGGCAUCGGAAGUGGCACCAAGCGAUCAGAGCGAGCACCACAAAAUCCUUCCCCGUCGGCUGCUGCAGCUGCAAAAA